rnacentral:rRNA from 1 species
GAUGAACGCUGGCGGCGUGCUUAACACAUGCAAGUCGAACGGAAAGGCUCCUGCUUGCCGGGGUACUCGAGUGGCGAACGGGUGAGUAACACGUGGGUGAUCUGCCCUGCACUUCGGGAUAAGCCUGGGAAACUGGGUCUAAUACCGGAUAGGACCACAUUUUGGAUGGUGUGGUGGAAAGUUUUUCGGUGUGGGAUGAGCUCGGGGCCUAUCAGCUUGUUGGUGGGGUAAUGGCCUACCAAGGCGUCGACGGGUAGCCGGCCUGAGAGGGUGUACGGACAGAUCAGAAAUGAGAGACGGGCCAGAGUCGUACGGGAGGCAGCAGGGGGGAAUAUUGCACAAAGGGAGCAAGCGUGAGGCAGGAAGGCCGCGUGGGGGAUGACGGCCUUCGGGUUGUAAACACCUAUCGCUAGGGACGAAGCGUUUUUGUGACGGUACCUGGAGAAGAAGCACCGGCUAACUACGUG